GCCCGCCUUCGGAGCCUCCGCGGGUUUUGGAGGCAGCGUAUACGGUGACCUUUCAUACGGCGGUAGCUUCAGCCCAGCCAAGGUGCCGACUUUCUCUUUGGAUUCUCUGGCGGCGGCACCCACCAGUUUUCAGGCUGCCUCAGCGGCGACAGUUUCGAAGGCAGUUCCGGAAUUCUACUCGAGGUACGCCGAGACCGUCAAGCAGGCUGUCCCAUUCAACUCCGGCUCUUUCGAAUUCGGAAAGUCACUCGCGGCGAACCCGACUCCGACUGGCCUCAACUUUGGGGCGUCCACUGGCUUCUCCGCUGGUGUCGGACAGGGCGGUGCCUGGGCCUUCCCCGACGCUGCUGCCUCUGCAUGGCCUGCGGCUUACAACAGCAAGUCUGCAUUGGCCCUGGGGCCAACAGUGAAGCUGUGAUGUGAUGCUGCCCCAACAGACGUGGGCUCGGAGACUCUCCAGGGACGGUUGAAUCAAAGCCAAACUCGCUCGCCCAGCAUGAAUGGAAGUCUUCUGGAAGCUCACUGAAGACAUUUAGGCUCCGGAACGUGAUAAUCAGCGAGUACGAUUUUCAAGUUGCUCGUGUGCAAUAGUUCGCGUUCGCUCAGAGUAGGUUAGUUCUCAUUGUCUGUUGGAUGUUUUUGUUUGGCAACAUCAUUUUAUACGCCAAUAAAUCUUGUUUGCUACAAAUCA